GCCUUGAUGGUGAAAUGCUAGACACGCGAGACUCAAAAUCUCGUGCUGAAGAGCGUGGAGGUUCGAGUCCUCUUCAAGGCA
rnacentral:tRNA from 1 species